GGCUGGUCCGAUGGUAGUGGGUUACCAGAACUUAGUAACAUUAAUAACUCUAAAGUUAGUAUACAACCCCCCACUGCUAAAUUUGGCUAUAAA
ensembl:misc_RNA Y_RNA Y RNA